rnacentral:ncRNA from 1 species
GGCUGUCCGCGUGACUGGCGAGGUUCAAGGUGGUCCAACCACCGGGGAGCGCGGACAUCCCGCCGCCGCUCGCCUGGGCACCCUCC